GACGAACGCUGGCGGCGUGCUUAACACAUGCAAGUCGAACGAAGUGGCGAACGGGUGAGUAACGCGUAAUCAACCUGCCCUUCAGAGGGGGACAACAGUUGGAAACGACUGCUAAUACCGCAUACUGAAGUAGGGGAUUGCGUCUGUUUGGCUAGUUGGGGGGGUAGCGGCCCACCAAGGCGAUGAUCAGUAGCCGGUUUGAGAGGAUGAACGGCCACAUUGGGACUGAGACACGGCCCAGACUCCUACGGGAGGCAGCAGGGGGGAAGCUUCCGAAAUGGACGAAAGGCUGACGGAGCAACGCCGCGUGAGUGAUGACGGCCUUCGGGUUGUAAAGCUCUGUUAAUCGGGACGCGGUACCGGAAUAGAAAGCCACGGCUAACUACGUGCCAGCAGCCGCGGUAAUAC
rnacentral:rRNA from 1 species